UACGUAGGGUGCAAGCGUUGUCCGGAAUUACUGGGCGUAAAGGGCUCGUAGGCGGCCAACUAAGUCAGACGUGAAAUCCCUCGGCUUAACCGGGGAACUGCGUCUGAUACUGGAUGGCUAGAGGUUGGGAGAGGGAUGCGGAAUUCCAGGUGUAGCGGUGAAAUGCGCAGAUAUCAGGAGGAACACCAAUGGCGAAGGCAGCUCGCUGGGACGGUACUGACGCUGGAGGCGCGAAAGCGUGGGGAGCAAACAGG
rnacentral:rRNA from 1 species